rnacentral:rRNA from 1 species
AACGUAGGAGACGAACGUUAUCCGGAGUUACUGGGCGUAAAGGGCGUGUAGGCGGUAUGUUAAGUCUGGCGUGAAAGCUCUCGGCUAAACCGGGAGAGGUCGUUGGAUACUGGCACACUAGAGGAUGGUAGAGGCGUGUGGAAUUCCGGGAGUAGUGGUGAAAUGCGUAGAGAUCCGGAGGAACACCAGUGGCGAAGGCGACACGCUGGGCCAUACCUGACGCUAAAGCGCGACAGCAUGGGGAGCAAACGGG